GCUGGCUUGAAUAUCACCUCUUUCCCUCCUCAUUAUCCCUCUACCUAGACAAAUUCUAAGAUUAAUUUUUUAUACCUCUUUUAUAACUCUAAUCACCUAAUAGAGUUUUGUUUAAUAUCUUUCUUUCCUAUUGGCCUAUGUGCUCUUUAAAGGCAAGUACUGUAUAUUAUUCAUUUUACAACCGCCUGUAAUCCCAACACUUUGGGAGGCUGAGGUGUGGAUGGGAGGGUGGAUGCCUUGAGGCUAGAAGUUCAAAACCAGCCUGGCCAACAUAGUGUAACCUUGUCUCUACUAAAAAUGCAAAAAUCAGCCAGGCGUGGUGGUGCAUGCCUGUAAUCCCAGCCACUUGGGAGGCUGAGGCAUGACAAUUGCUUGAACCAGGAGGUGGAGGUUGCAGUGAGCCGAGAUCAUGCCACUGCACUCCAGCCUGNNNNNNNNNNGCCACUGCACUCCAGCCUGCGCAACAGGGCAAGACUCCGUCUCAAAAAAACAAAAAACAAAA
rnacentral:lncRNA from 1 species